UACGGGGGGAGCAAGCGUUGUUCGGAUUUACUGGGCGUAAAGGGCGCGUAGGCGGUCAGCACAAGUCAGUUGUGAAAUCUCCGAGCUUAACUCGGAAAGGUCAACUGAUACUGUGCGACUAGAGUGCAGAAGGGGCAACUGGAAUUCUCGGUGUAGCGGUGAAAUGCGUAGAUAUCGAGAGGAACACCUGCGGCGAAGGCGGGUUGCUGGGCUGACACUGACGCUGAGGCGCGAAAGCUAGGGGAGCGAACAGG
rnacentral:rRNA from 1 species